rnacentral:rRNA from 1 species
UACGGGGGGUGCAAGCGUUGCUCGGAAUCACUGGGCGUAAAGCGUCCGCAGGCGGCUUGACAAGUCGGGUGUGAAAGCCCGGGGCUCAACCCCGGAACUGCAUUCGAAACUGUCUCGCUCGAGUACGGGAGAGGGUCGUGGAAUUCCUGGUGUAGAGGUGAAAUUCGUAGAUAUCAGGAGGAACACCGGUGGCGAAAGCGGCGACCUGGCCCGAUACUGACGCUCAUGGACGAAAGCGUGGGGAGCAAACAGG